UCUAAGGCCAUGCCACCCUGACUGUGCCCUAUCUUGUCUGAUCUGGGAAGCUGAGUAGGGUUGGGCCUGGUUAGUACUUGGAUGGGAGACCACCUAGAAAUACCGGGUGCUGUUAAAA
rnacentral:rRNA from 1 species